GGGAAUCUUCCGCAAUGGGCGAAAGCCUGACGGAGCAACGCCGCGUGAUCGAAUGAAGGCCUUCGGGUUGUAAAGAUCUGUUGACAGGGACGAAUAAGCAAUGCGAAUAGUUUUGUGUAUGACGGUACCUGUUUAGAAAGCUCCGGCUAACUACGUGCCAGCAGCCGCGGUAAUACGUAGGGAGCAAGCGUUGUCCGGAAUUACUGGGCGUAAAGGGCGCGUAGGUGGGCGCUUAAGUCAGGUGUGAAAACUCCGGGCUCAACCUGGAGACUGCACUUGAAACUGGGUGUCUUGAGGGCAGGAGAGGAAAGUGGAAUUCCUAGUGUAGCGGUGAAAUGCGUAGAUAUUAGGAGGAACACCAGUUGCGAAGGCGGCUCUCUGGACUGUAACUGACACUGAGGCACGAAAGCGUGGGGAGCAAACAGG
rnacentral:rRNA from 1 species